rnacentral:rRNA from 1 species
CACCAGCUCCUCGAGUGGUGGGGACUAUUAUCUGGCCUAAAGCGUCCGUAGCUGGCUGUAUCCGUUUCCCGGUAAAUCCGGCGUCCUAAGCGUCGGGCUUCGGGUAAUACCAUACAGCUUGAGGGUGGGAUAGGUGAGCGGUAUUUCUGGGGUAGGGGCGAAAUCCUUUGAUCCCAGGAGGACCACCAGUGGCGAAGGUUGCUCACUAGAACACGCCUGACGGUCAGGGACGAAAGCUGGGGUAGCGAACCGGAUUAGAUACCCGGGUAGUCCCAGCUGUAAACGAUGCUAGCUAGGUGUUGGGUCGGCCACGCGCCGCCUCAGUGCCGCAGGGAAGCCGUUAAGCUAGCCGCCUGGGGAGUACGGCCGCAAGGCUGAAACUUAAGGAAUUGGCGGGGAGCACCACCAGGCGUGAAGCCUGCGGUUU